rnacentral:rRNA from 1 species
UACGUAGGGGGCAAGCGUUGUCCGGAAUCAUUGGGCGUAAGAGCGCGUAGGCGGUCCGGUAAGUCCGCUGUGAAAGUCAAGGGCUCAACCCUUGAAAUGCCGGUGGAUACUGUCGGGCUAGAGUCCGGAAGAGGCGAGUGGAAUUCCUGGUGUAGCGGUGAAAUGCGCAGAUAUCAGGAGGAACACCAAUGGCGAAGGCAGCUCGCUGGGACGGUACUGACGCUGAGGCGCGAAAGCGUGGGGAGCAAACAGG